rnacentral:misc_RNA from 1 species
AAGCUUCCGAAGCUUUGUUGCGGUUUGGUGUGUCUUUUAUUUUUACGUAGAACUCAUAUCGAUCCGAUAUGCCGCGUCCGAGAAUGGAUUUUGCGACUAAUAAGUGGCGAGGCACCACGCGAGCAAGAAUGAACAGCCCUGGAGGUUAUGGGCACUGCUCAAUUGGCUCAUUCCUCGGUGCUUCUCGAAGGUACGCGUCACGUCUGUUUGGUUGGACAGCCACCAAGUUGACUUGGAUGUCAGCGCCUGUUGUCAUCAGAACCUGGUUCUUGUGCUGCCACAUCAUUUUUGGUGGUGGCGCUGUCGUCACCUCCCAACGCUUGCGCUCCCCGAGUUCCCAUUCAAGAUGGUGCUGCCACGGACUUUGGCUCGUGGGGGUGCCGUCGCUACUGACAAAGCCUGUGCUCCCCGUCGUCCCUGUUGAAAUGGUGGCUGGGACUUGGAGAGGGUUCGCUGCCACAGCCGGAUCCAGUGUUACAUUCCUGUGGCUUUUUGGUUGUUUCCCAAUUAUUGAAGGGAGUUGCAGGCUUAUCAUGGGCGACACAGUGCUUUGCUCGCACCUUCACGGAGUACAGCAAUGUGGGGAAGCAAGUCGAGGACAGCCUCUCUCGAUUUCUGUCCCGGGGGCGCUAUGCUCUUCCAGGACCAAGCAAGAAACACAGUGCAGAGAGGCAAGGAGGUAAAAUAAAGGGAGUAAAGCAAAAGGAACAGGGUAUGUGUUCCUAGUAGUCAUGCCGGCCACCUUGAGUGGCAGUGUUUGGGCAUAAGAACCAAGAAGGAAAUUCAUGAAGCCUGUAAUUCUAACACAUAUAUACUUUUGGACGUUCGAUAGGACCGGUUUCCGUGAACAUAACAGCCGAGAAAACAUCUGACACCUUACAGACAU